rnacentral:rRNA from 1 species
CCCUAACCGUGCGAAGGUAGCAUAAUCACUUGUUUCCUAAAUAGAGACUAGUAUCAACGGCAUCACGAAGACUACACUGUCUCCCCCCUAAAAUCAAUGAAACUAAUCUCCUCGUGAAGAAGCGAGGAUGAACAUAUAAGACGAGAAGACCCCAUGGAGCUUUAAACAAACUUCAAUUGCUUUCCCCCCCCCCCCC